rnacentral:rRNA from 1 species
UCUUUCUUUGCUGGCGACCGGCGCACGGGUGAGUAACACGUAUCCAACCUGCCCUUUACUCGGGGAUAGCCUUUCGAAAGAAAGAUUAAUACCCGAUAGCAUAAUGAUUCCGCAUGGUUUCAUUAUUAAAGGAUUCCGGUAAAGGAUGGGGAUGCGUUCCAUUAGAUAGUAGGCGGGGUAACGGCCCACCUAGUCUUCGAUGGAUAGGGGUUCUGAGAGGAAGGUCCCCCACAUUGGAACUGAGACACGGUCCAA